ensembl:lncRNA
CACUUCUAGAGGACUCUAAUAUUAAUACUUCUAGAGGACUCUAUUAUCAACACUUCUAGAGGACUCUAUUAUCAACACAUCUAGAGGACUCUAUUAUCAACACUUCUAGAGGACUCUAUUAUCAACACAUCUAGAGGUCUCUAAUAUUAACACUUCUAGAGGACUCUAUUAUCAACACAUCUAGAAGACUCUAAUAUUAACACUUCUAGAGGACUCUAUUAUUAACACAUCUAGAGGAUUCUAUUAUUACAAGAUGUCUAGAGGACUCUAUUAUUAACACUUCUAGAGGACUCUAUUAUCAACACUUCUAGAGGACUCUACUAUUAACACUUCUAGAGGACUCUAUUAUCAACACAUCUAGAGGACUCUACUAUUAACACUUCUAGAGGACUCUAUUAUUACAACACAUCUAGAGGACUCUAUUAUCAACACUUCUAGAGGACUCUACUGUGAUGCCCUUUGGUACCCCCCAAACUCGCUGUGUCCAAAUCAACUCCUCUGAGUUUAACAGAGUUUAACUCACAUAUAAUGCUAGCAGUUCACGGGAGCAGACGUAGAGCAGACUUCUGGAGUGGGGAAAUAAUGAAUGCUUUUCACUGU